rnacentral:rRNA from 1 species
UCGAGAAUCAUUCACAAUGGGGGCAACCCUGAUGGUGCGACGCCGCGUGGAGGAUAAGGUCUUCGGAUUGUAAACUCCUGUCAUGCGAGAGCAAGAUUUGAGCGGGUAACUCCGCUGGAUUUGAUAGUAUCGCAAGAGGAAGAGACGGCUAACUCUGUGCCAGCAGCCGCGGUAAUACAGAGGUCUCAAGCGUUGUUCGGAAUCACUGGGCGUAAAGGGUGCGUAGGUGGCGUGGAAAGUCAGAUGUGAAAUCCGGGGGCUCAACCUCCGAAUAGCAUCCGAUACUCCCAUGCUAGAGAACUGGAGGGGGAUCUGGAAUUCUCGGUGUAGCAGUGAAAUGCGUAGAUAUCGAGAGGAACACUAGUGGCGAAGGCGAGAUCCUGGACAGUAUCUGACACUG